rnacentral:rRNA from 1 species
GACGAACGCUGGCGGCGUGCUUAACACAUGCAAGUCGAACAGUGUCGAACGGGUGAGUAAUAUAUUGGAACAUACCGAGUAAUGGGGGAUAACCAAUCGAAAGAUUGGCUAAUACCGCAUAUCAUUCGAGCGGCCUAUAUCUGAUUAGCUAGUUGGUGGGGUAAAGGCCUACCCAGGCGGCGAUCAGUAGCGGGUCUGCGAGGAUGAUCCGCAAAACGGGGACUGAUACACGGCCCAGACUCCUACGGGAGGCAGAGGUGGGGAAUUUUGGACAAUGGGGGCAAGCCUGCUCCAGCCAUGCCGGGUGUCUGAAGAAGGCCUUCGGGUUGUAAAGGACUUUUGUUAGGGAAGCGGUACCUAAAGAAUAAGCACCGGCUAACUACGUGCCAGCAGCCGCGGUAAUAC